GAUGAACGCUGGCGGCGUGCCUAAUACAUGCAAGUCGAGCGAACAGACGAGGAGCUUGCUCCUCUGACGUUAGCGGCGGACGGGUGAGUAACACGUGGAUAACCUACCUAUAAGACUGGGAUAACUUCGGGAAACCGGAGCUAAUACCGGAUAAUAUAUUGAACCGCAUGGUUCAAUAGUGAGAGACGGUUUUGCUGUCACUUAUAGAUGGAUCCGCGCCGCAUUAGCUAGUUGGUAAGGUAACGGCUUACCAAGGCAACGAUGCGUAGCCGACCUGAGAGGGUGAUCGGCCACACUGGAACUGAGACACGGUCCAGACUCCUACGGGAGGCAGCAGUAGGGAAUCUUUCGCAAUGGGCGAAAGCCUGACGGAGCAACGCCGCGUGAGUGAUGAAGGUCUUCGGAUCGUAAAACUCUGUUAUUAGGGAAGAACAAAUGUGUAAGUAACUAUGCACGUCUUGACGGUACCUAAUCAGAAAGCCACGGCUAACUACGUG
rnacentral:rRNA from 1 species